ACAUAUAGCAAUAGACCAAUGGUACACAAUAUAAGGAUAUAAAUAAUUUCAAAUAACUAUAAGAAUUUUUUGCAUAUAUUGAAUUCUCAAACGAGUGGGAAUAUUGCUAUUUAAUACAUCAGGAAAGACUAUGUAUUAACUAUGGGGGGAAAAAAAGACAAAUUAGGAUAAUUCUUCAUACCAUCCAAGUAGGGUAAACUAUAAACUAUUAUCAAACUGAAUGUACAAAAUGAAAUAUUACAGUUACUAGAAGAAAUCAUGAUGAAUCCCUUAAAACUGAGAGAAGGGAAAAGCAUUCUGAUUAUGAAUAAAAUCCAAGAAACAAUAAAAGCAAAAUGUAAUA
rnacentral:lncRNA from 1 species